UGCCUACGGGGGGCUGCAGUGGGGAAUAUUGCACAAUGGGGGAAACCCUGAUGCAGCAACGCCGCGUGAGCGAAGAAGGCCUUCGGGUCGUAAAGCUCUGUCCUAAGGGAAGAAGAAAAUGACGGUACCUUAGGAGGAAGCCCCGGCUAACUACGUGCCAGCAGCCGCGGUAAUACGUAGGGGGCAAGCGUUAUCCGGAAUCACUGGGCGUAAAGGGUGCGUAGGCGGCCGAUAAAGUCAGGGGUGAAAGGCUACGGCUCAACCGUAGUAAGCCUUUGAAACUUAUUGGCUUGAGUGCAGGAGAGGAGAGUGGAAUUCCUAGUGUAGCGGUGAAAUGCGUAGAUAUUAGGAGGAACACCAGUGGCGAAGGCGACUCUCUGGACUGUAACUGACGCUGAGGCACGAAAGCGUGGGGAGCGAACAGGAUUAGAUACCCGGGUAGUCAC
rnacentral:rRNA from 1 species